AUAACUAACGAAAACCAAUGAAGAUUUGGUUAUGAAAAUACUUUUUAGAAUAAUUUUCCCAAGCUUUCCCUUCCCCACCCAUGCCUCCCCCAAAUCUUGCUCUUUUUGUCUCGUUUUUAAGAAGAGGCAACUGCAGCAUGUUCAUCGCAGAAAAAUCUUCAGAAUAGUUUCACUUAUUAAGACCUUUUCAUUGGAAAGGAGACCUUUAGGACCCCUCACUCUUUCAAAACAGAGAGACUUUGAUUUAUAUGAGCAGGGCUUCAGGAUCGGCAAGUACUUGCAAAUGAUUAAUUAUGCAUGCAGUUCAUUUGACGCACCUUGUCUUCGCUGGUCUUGGAGGACGGAGUGCAACAGGCAAGGCAGGAGGGUUUCUUACGAAUUAAGGUUUUGGUGCGGAGUAGAGUGAAAUUACGACAGCGAGGCCGUUUAAAGGAGCAGUUAUGGCGAAGAAGACUUAACGCACGGAGUGGUACAGCGCCAUUUCGCUGCCAACUUACGAGAUUGUCACCUCUCAGCUGUUGUAUAUGGUGAUUAAGUUGAAAUAUGGGAGAAGAUUUAGUGGCCUUUAUGUGACAAAAGGUUUCAAUGUUAAUAACACCUGUGAUCCUCCAGAAUUGUUGACAUCAUUUACAGUGGGCACUUAAUUGGAAUAAUGCUUAACACAAAACAGAUUGAUUCAGUCAAGAGGUGAUAAGCUUGGUAUAUAGUGUAUUUUUCUUCAAGCAAAAGAAGACUGGUGGAAGGGAACUGCAAAACUCAACCAAGCAUCAACAAGGAUUAUCAUCAUUUCAGUUGAGAAAUUAUAGCUGUGAUAGACGGACAAGGAGAACUUCAGAAGAUAUGAACAUUAAAAAACUUUUUUGUACCCGUUGUAUCAGUUUUGAGGAAAACAUGUGUAACAAAACCAAUUAAAAAU